rnacentral:lncRNA from 1 species
AAAGCAGAAAAUGGAGAUUUCAACUGGAUAAUACCAGAGCGGUUUCUUGCCUUCUGUGGGCCACACUCAAGAUCCAGGCUGGAAAGUGGUGAAACCGCUUUCCGUUGUGUUCUUCCUGCGUCUUACGAGCUGUGGUGCAUUUCUUUAUGUAGGUUACCACCAACAUUCUCCUGAGACUUAUAUUCCAUAUUUUAAGAAUCACAAUGUAACUACCAUUAUCCGUCUGAAUAAAAGGAUGUAUGAUGCUAA